CCCUACGCAAUAUGGCGCUCGCACCGUAGUGCGAGUGACUCGCGUUUUUACGUCGAGUUCCAUAUUUGCUCCAACAUGCUGGCGGUACGGAGAACCUUGCGCUAUGCCUUCACGCUGCCGACUGUGUACCGCCGCGGCUGUGCCACCUCUCUCCUGGUGGACGACGUGGUGAAUGGGCUGACGGACGAGCAGAUCCAGCUCAGGCACACUGUCCAGCGGUUCUUCCGGGAGGAGCUGGCCCCUUACGCAAGUGAAAUCGACAAAAGCAAUGAGUUCAAAGGAAUGCGGGAGUUUUGGAAGAAGAUGGGGAGCUUGGGAAUCCUGGGAAUCACAGCUCCAGUGGAGUUUGGGGGCUCUGGACUGGGCUACUUGGAUCAUGUGAUUGUCAUGGAGGAGAUUUCGCGGGUGUCUGCUGCUGUGGGCCUCAGUUAUGGGGCACACUCUAAUCUCUGCGUCAACCAGCUGGUCCGCAAUGGCAACCAGGCCCAAAAGGAGAAGUAUCUACCCAAGCUAGUGUCAGGAGAGCAUGUGGGGGCCCUCGCUAUGAGUGAGCCCAAUGCCGGCUCUGAUGUGGUGUCAAUGAAGCUGAGGGCCAGGAAGGAAGGGAACCAUUAUGUGCUCAAUGGCAACAAGUUCUGGAUUACUAAUGGGCCAGAUGCAGAUGUGCUCAUAGUGUACGGCAAAACGGAGCCUGAGGCAGCGGCUCGUGGCAUAACUGCCUUCAUUGUGGAGAAGGGUAUGCCUGGUUUCAGCACUGCACAGAAACUGGACAAGCUUGGUAUGCGGGGUUCCAACACCUGCGAGCUUAUCUUUGAGGACUGCAAGAUUCCAGAGGAAAACGUUCUAGGCUCGUUGAAUAAAGGCGUGUACGUCUUGAUGAGUGGACUGGACUUGGAGAGGCUGGUGCUGUCAGCAGGGCCACUAGGAAUCAUGCAGGCUGUAUUGGACUUUGCUGUCCCAUACAUGCACGUCCGAGAGGCCUUUGGCCAGAAAAUAGGACACUUCCAGGGGGUUCUUGCUGGCUGUGUUUUAUACUCGCAUGGAAUGUGCCCCUCCACAGCUGAUGCAAAGCAAGAUGGCAGACAUGUACACACGGUUGAGCUCAUGUCGGCAGUAUGUGUACAACGUAGCUCGUGCCUGUGAUAAGAGUCACAACAGUUCCAUGGACUGUGCUGGAGUCAUUCUUUACUGUGCAGAGAACGCCACUCAAGUUGCACUCGAUGGUAUUCAGUGCCUGGGGGGAAAUGGCUACAUUAACGACUACCCCAUGGGACGCUUCCUGCGGGAUGCCAAGUUAUACGAGAUUGGGGCGGGCACCAGUGAGGUGCGCAGGAUUAUCAUCGGUCGGGCUUUCAACACCAUGUUCAAGUAAAUUGGUUUGUGACCAAGUACAGACUGUAGGGCAAUACAAAAGACAUCAAUGCUACAGUUUCUUGAACAUAGUUGAAGUUUCACUGCGGUGAAGUCAGACCACAGAAUUGACCACCUGUAGCAGUAUUGCCAUUUAGCAUACAGUUCAUGUUUGCCAGGAAGUGGACUCUGUCCCAUCAAACUUGGGGGGAAUUUCCCAAGAAUAGCAGGUGUCCUCCUUAUGUGGUACCCUCCUCCUUCACCACAGUAAACACAAUAGGGUGUAGGAAUUCCCAAACUGAAGGAUGUGCUCAUCCAUGUGAAUACAACCUACAAAUAGGUAAUACUGUUCUCUCACAUUCAUUUUGCUGUGUUUAUUAAACUUUCUCCUAUGAGUCUCUACAUUCUUUUCAGAAGCCCUUGAAUUCAUCACUUUUUUUUUUUUGUAUUGUGUCCUGUGUACCCAAACCCCUUCUUCACAUCUUGUAGAUAACUCACAGAAACAGGAUUUAUGCUUUUUUUUUUUUUUUUCUCCCCCCCCCCCUUUUUCCUUCCCUCCACUCAAAUGCUGAUGUGUAUGUACAUACAAGGCAUUUUUAUACAGCAGGAAAUGUUGUCCCUUUUUAUUUAUGAUAUUGCAAGGACAUUUUGUAAUUGAAGGGAAAUCACUUGCCUUAAAAGAACUUGAGUUCUCUGACUACUCAUGUUUGUGAUUGAGUUGGUAGAAAAAUCAAAAAGUUUACUAUUUUCUGUCUGUGAAACAUCUGUGUUACAAAUACUGUCAUUUGAUCAGUUUUAGGAACCUAACUUUUUCAGCUUAAUUUGAGUGUGUGCACUUACUCUCAGAUUAAAAUUUUCUCAAACAGAAAACGUCUUUCUGUACUAAUCUGUACCAAUCAUCGUUAAAAACACUGACGGGUGAAGUGAUUGAUUAUUUUGUUACAAUGGCACCUCUCAAGGGGUGGGAUAUAUUAGGCAGCAAGUGAACAGUAAGAUCUUGA